rnacentral:rRNA from 1 species
UCCCAGACUCCUACGGGAGGCAGCAGUGAGGAAUAUUGGUCAAUGGUCGGGAGACUGAACCAGCCAAGCCGCGUGAGGGAGGAAGGUACAGAGUAUCGUAAACCUCUUUUGUCAGGGAGCAAAGGCGUCCACGUGUGGACGAGAGGAGAGUACCUGAAGAAAAAGCAUCGGCUAACUCCGUGCCAGCAGCCGCGGUAAUACGGAGGAUGCGAGCGUUAUCCGGAUUUAUUGGGUUUAAAGGGUGCGUAGGCGGAGUGUCAAGUCAGCGGUAAAAUUUCGGGGCUCAACCCCGUCGUGCCGUUGAAACUGACGCCCUUGAGUGAGUGAGAAGUAAGCGGAAUGCGUGGUGUAGCGGUGAAAUGCAUAGAUAUCACGCAGAACGCCGAUUGCGAAGGCAGCGUACCGGCGCUCAACUGACGCUGAGGCACGAAAGUGCGGGUAUCGAACAGGAUUAGAUACCCGAGUAAAA